GGCAGGAGGAGCCUAGAAGAAAGGACUAGAGAAGCCUAGGCUUUUAGGGAGAUGAGAGAUUUCCUCCUGUGUUUAGACUCUAAGGAGAAGGGGUGAAGGAUUUGUCACUUCCCGACCCGAAUGAUGAGAAGAACAUCUCAUGGGAACUUCAUCCCCUGGAGUCUCCUUCUAUCUGUUUUAUUGCAGGAGGUGGAGCGACAUUGCUAUAGCUUGUGGGGAGUGAGGAGACAAUGGGAGGAAAUACAAUAGGGUGAUUUUAAAAAUGUCACGGAAAUUCCACUGAGAGCUAACAUCUCAUUUCCAAGGUGUCCCCUGGGAUAAAUCAGAAGGGAUAGCACUGAAAGUGAAGGCAUAGCAUACGAAAGAAAAAGAAGCAAUGUGUUUGGAGAAGAAGAUUUGAGAAUCAGCUCAUUGAAGGUGUAAGAAGAAGAGACCCCGCUGGAUCAUCAUCAACUACCUUUCCCUGCCAAUGCAGGAGACAGUCCCCUGAUGGAGGAUGCAGCAGGCACUACACUUGACCACAGCCAAUGUGCCACAUAGAUCAUUGAUAAAGAUACUGAAUGGCAUUGGACCGUGGGACCCUGUGACGGGGUGUAUCUACCACACACUGGCCCAGCAUUGUGGGCUGAGAAGGCCACACUCCUCUGUCCCUGCUGGGCAUGCUCAACCUGGAGACAAGAUCUAAGAGGAAGCAGUUCCAUUCAGUUGGUCCAGACUGCUGAGGAGGAAGGAUUGCAGGUUCCCUCACAGGAGCUGCUGGAGCCCCAGACCACAGAGGCCAGACAUUCUGAGCCCUAGACAGAUCCCCAGCUGGCUGCGGAAGCCAGAGAUGGGAUUGAGCCUUCAGGAAUUUCGCUAGUCGACGGCCCCAGAGGACCCAUGGACUAUUGCAUUGGAAGACAGGGUAGGAGGUAGCCCAGGGGAAAUCGACAUUGAUCUGGUUGUAGGAUCAGGAAAUAGGACAGUGUGUUUUGGCAGAUCCCUGCUGACCCAAUGGUGAAUACAGUUGCCACUGUCAGGGCCCUGGGUGGACCCACUGGAGUAGGGAGGGCCUAGGUCACCCUACCUCGGCCACCACCUUCCUUGGGCAACUAGGCCCCGCAACUCCACACAGGAGGGAAGCCAUAGUGACUCUGGCUGCUAGGCCACAAGCCCCACACAGGAGGGUAACUAUAGGGACUCUGGCCACUUGGUCACGCUGCCCUGAGAGCAAGGGCAGGCCCAAGGGACUCUGGCUGCUAGUCUGUACUACCCCACUUUAUAGGCUUUAGCCAGCUGAGGCAUAACCCCUCAUCGACCAUAUGCAACCUGACAUCCCAUGACAGGAUGUGUCUACCCCACGACAUACCCCACUACAAAUACCCCCAUUGGAUGAUGAUUCUCCAUUUACAAAUUACUUUUUGCAAUGUAAGAGUUAACCAGUUUUUACAUCCAUUUAACAUGGGUUACGUUGAUUUUUAUAUAGUGCUAAUUUUUUUUUUUUUUACUCAGAAUGUCAUGGACGACUAAGUUAAAUGCCUUACAGAAGUCUAAGUAUACUAUGUCAACACAGUUACCUUUCUCAAAUUCUUUUAAUACUCUGGGGUGCAAGCUAUUUGAUUCUGCAGAUUUAAAAUAGCUUAACUUUAAUAGUUGCUGUUUAACAUCCUCACUACUGAUUACUGAUGGAAUAGAAACAGUGAUAAUUAAAUCCUAAGAUAUGAAUACAUCAUCU